GACAGAGGCCUCGAGCGUUAGGCGGAAUCACUGGGCUUAAAGCGUGUGUAGGCGGAUCGUUAAGUCCCUUGUGAAAUCCCACGGCUCAACCGUGGAACGGCUGGGUAUACUGGCGGUCUUGGGCCAUUCAGGGGCGACUGGAACAAGCGGUGGAGCGGUGAAAUGCGUAGAUAUCGCUUGGAACGCCGAAGGUGAAAACAGGUCGCUGGGGAUGUGCCGACGCUGAGACACGAAAGCCAGGGGAGCAAACGGG
rnacentral:rRNA from 1 species